CAUUAAUGAAAUUAUAAUCCGGCGAGGGGAAAGGCGGAGAGUUGUAGCUGGCCUCUAGGGGCAUGUGCACGCUCUCUUCCGGACCUUUCGCCGUAUGGGCGCGGGGCGACCCGCGUCUUCAUAUACCUCUUCGUGUAGAAAGUCUUUGAAUGUUUUACCAUCAUCGAGUCGCGACUUCUAGGAGACGCGAUUCUUUGAGAAAAAAGUUAUUACAACUUUCAGCAACGGAUCUCUUGGCUCUCGCAUCGAUGAAGAACGCAGCGAAUCGCGAUAUGUAAUGUGAAUUGCAGAUCUACAGUGAAUCAUCGAAUCUUUGAACGCACCUUGCGCUCCUCGGUGUUCCGAGGAGCAUGCCUGUUUGAGUGUCAGUAAAUUCUCAACCCCUCUCGAUUUGCUUCGAGCGGGUGCUUGGAUGUUGGGGGCUGCCGGAGACACUGGAUUCGUCCAGGACUCGGGCUCCUCUUAAAUGAAUCGGCUCGCGGUCGACUUUCGACUUUGCAUGACAAGGCCUUUGGCGUGAUAAUGAUCGCCGUUCGCCGAAGUGCAAGACAGAAUGGUCCCGUGCCUCUAAUGCGUCGACGCCUCUAGGGGCGUCUUCCUCAUUGACGUUUGACCUCAAAUCAGGUAGGACUACCCGCUGAACUUAAGCAU
rnacentral:rRNA from 1 species